GUGGCCGGCGACAAGGAAGCGGAGACGGCGGUGCCCGCAGCGGCACGGGAGAAGCACGCGCAGCUCGCUGAGCAGAUCGAGGAGCACCGCUUCCGUUACUACGUGAACGACGCCCCGGUCGUCAGCGACGCGGAGUUCGACAAACUCCUGCGAACCCUCGAGGCGUUGGAGGAGGAGCACCCCGAGCUGCGCACCCCGGACUCCCCGACGCAGAAGGUCGCGGGGGCGUACGAGACGGAGUUCACCUCCGUCGUCCACCGCUCCCGCAUGCUCUCCCUGGACAACGCCUUCGAGGACCUGGAGCUGGCGGCCUGGGCCGAGCGCGUCCACAAGGACGUCGGCGCCUCCGACUACCACUUCCUGUGCGAGCUCAAGGUCGACGGCCUCGCCGUCAACCUCACGUAUGAGCAGGGCCGCCUCACGCGCGCGGCGACCCGCGGCGACGGCCGUACGGGCGAGGACAUCACGCCCAAUGUGCGGACGAUCGCCGAGAUCCCGGACCGGCUGACCGGCGAGCGCGUGCCCGACCUCGUGGAGAUCCGCGGCGAGGUCUACUUCCCGAUGGAGAAGUUCGAGGAACUCAACGCCCGCCUGGUCGAGGCCGGCGACAAGCCCUUCGCCAACCCCCGUAACGCGGCGGCGGGUUCACUGCGCCAGAAGGACCCGCGCGUCACCGCCGGCCGCCCGCUGCACAUGGUCGUGCACGGCAUCGGCGCCCUGGAGGGCUUCGACCCCCUCACCCGCCUCUCCGAGGCGUACGACCUCCUCAAGACCUGGGGCCUGCCCACCUCCCCGCACAACAGGGUGGUCGACGACCUCGACGGCGUACGGGAGUUCAUCAGGUACUACGGCGAGAACCGGCACUCCGUCGCGCACGAGAUCGACGGCGUGGUCGUCAAGCUCGACGAGAUCCCCCUCCAGGGUCGCCUCGGCUCCACCUCCCGCGCCCCGCGCUGGGCGAUCGCGUGGAAGUACGCGCCCGAGGAGGUCAACACCAAGCUGGUCAACAUCCGCGUGGGCGUGGGCCGUACGGGCCGGGUCACGCCGUACGCCCAGGUCGAGCCGGUCACGGUGGCCGGCUCGGAGGUCGAGUUCGCGACGCUGCACAACCAGGAGGUCGUCAAGGCCAAGGGCGUCCUCAUCGGCGACACGGUGGUGCUGCGCAAGGCCGGUGACGUGAUCCCGGAGAUCCUCGGCCCGGUCGCCGACCUGCGCGACGGCAGCGAGCGGGAGUUCGUGAUGCCCGCCGAGUGCCCCGAGUGCGGGACGCCGCUGCGGCCCAUGAAGGAGGGCGACAUCGACCUCCGCUGCCCGAACGCCCGCACCUGCCCUGCCCAGUUGAGGGAGCGGCUCUUCUACCUCGCGGGCCGCAAGGCGCUGGACAUCGACCACUUCGGCUAUGUGUCGGCCGCCGCCCUCACCAAGCCGCUGGAGCCCGCGGAGCCGCCGCUGAAGGACGAGGGCGACCUGUUCGGCCUCACCAUCGAGCAGUUGCUGCCCAUCAAGGCGUACGUCCUCGACCAGGACAGCGGGCUGCCCAAGCGUGACCCGAAGACCGGCGAGGAGAAGAUCGCGACGGUCUUCGCCAACCAGCAGGGCGAGCCGAAGAAGAACGCGCUCGCGAUGCUGGAGACCAUCGCGGCGGCCAAGGAGAGCCCGCUCGCCCGCAUUCUCACCGGCCUGUCGAUCCGUCAUGUCGGCCCGGUCGCCGCCGAGGCGCUGGCCCGCGAGUUCCGCUCGAUCGAGCGUAUCGAGCAGGCCGACGAGGUGGAGCUGGCCAACACGGACGGCGUCGGGCCGAUCAUCGCGGCCUCCCUCAAGGAGUGGUUCGCCGAGGACUGGCACCAGGAGAUCCUGCGCAAGUGGCGGGCGGCCGGGGUCCGGAUGGAGGACGAGGGGUCCGGCGAGGACGAGGGCCCGCGUCCGCUGGAAGGGCUGACCGUCGUCGUGACCGGCACACUCGAACACUUCACGAGGGACGGGGCGAAGGACGCCCUACAGAGCCGGGGAGCGAAAGUGACCGGUUCUGUUUCGAAGAAGACGUCUUUCGUCGUCGUAGGUGACAAUCCUGGUUCCAAGUACGACAAGGCGAUGCAGGUCAAGGUGCCGGUUCUGAACGAGGACGGCUUCACCGUUCUGCUGGAACAGGGCCCCGAGGCGGCCGCCGAAGUCGCGCUUCCGGCCGAGGAGUAG
rnacentral:misc_RNA from 1 species